GGGUGGUUAGCUCAGCGGUAGAGCACUGCCUUCACACGGCAGGGGUCGCUGGUUCGAUCCCAGUACUACCCACCA
rnacentral:tRNA from 1 species